UACAGAGGGGGCAAGCGUUGUUCGGAAUUACUGGGCGUAAAGGGCGCGUAGGCGGCCGCCUAAGUCAGACGUGAAAUCCCUCGGCUCAACCGGGGAACUGCGUCUGAUACUGGGUGGCUUGAAUCCGGGAGAGGUAUGCGGAAUUCCAGGUGUAGCGGUGAAAUGCGUAGAUAUCUGGAGGAACACCGGUGGCGAAGGCGGCAUCCUGGACCGGUAUUGACGCUGAGGCGCGAAAGCCAGGGGAGCAAACGGG
rnacentral:rRNA from 1 species